AGAGUUUGAUCCUGGCUCAGAACGAACGCUGGCGGCGUGGAUAAGACAUGCAAGUCGAACGAGAACUUUUCUAGUAGCAAUACCGGGAAAGUUUUAGUGGCGAACGGGUGCGUAACACGUGGGCAAUCUGCCGAGAAGUGGGGGAUAGCUCGCCGAAAGGCGAAUUAAUACCGCAUGUGAUCAGGAGAGACAUCUCUUCGACAUCAAAGCCGGGGCAACCUGGCGCUUCUUGAUGAGCCCGCGGCCUAUCAGCUAGUUGGUGAGGUAACGGCCCACCAAGGCUUUGACGGGUAGCUGGUCUGAGAGGACGACCAGCCACACUGGAACUGAGACACGGUCCAGACACCUACGGGUGGCAGCAGUCGAGAAUUUUUCUCAAUGGGGGAAACCCUGAAGGAGCGACGCCGCGUGGAGGAUGAAGGCUUUCGGGUUGUAAACUCCUGUCAUUUGGGAACAAUGGUUACGCGUUAACUGUGCGUGAUUUGAUAGUACCAGAAGAGGAAGAGACGGCUAACUCUGUGCCAGCAGCCGCGGUAAUACAGAGGUCUCAAGCGUUGUUCGGAUUCAUUGGGCGUAAAGGGUGCGUAGGUGGCGCGCUAAGUCAGGUGUGAAAUUUCGGAGCUUAACUCCGAAACUGCAUUUGAUACUGGCGUGCUUGAGGACUGGAGAGGAGACUGGAAUUCACGGUGUAGCAGUGAAAUGCGUAGAGAUCGUGAGGAAGACCAGUGGCGAAGGCGGGUCUCUGGACAGUUCCUGACACUGAGGCACGAAGGCCAGGGGAGCAAACGGGAUUAGAUACCCCCGUAGUCC
rnacentral:rRNA from 1 species